rnacentral:lncRNA from 1 species
CCUUUCGACUACUACGCGGCUGCUAAGUUAUAGCCGCAUGGCUGGUUUCAGGGGAUCCACUUAAUCUUAAUACGGGCUAGUGGACAGUGCCUCUAAACAGUUGCAUUUAUGUUUUUCCAGGUCGGGUCGAUCGAAAUCGCUCGCUGCUGGGCGACAAGGUUGUGGGAAAUGCUCAGUUCCAAACAGCCUGGGUGUCAGCCUUUGGGAUCAACGCGUGUUCCUGAUAAUGGAGCAGAGCACUCAACACACACAGUGUCUCUCUCUCGCCCUCUCUCUCAUCUCUCUCUCUCACACACACACGAGAUUGAUUUGCUU